rnacentral:rRNA from 1 species
AACGAACGCUGGCGGCAUGCCUAACACAUGCAAGUCGAACGAGACCUUCGGGUCUAGUGGCGCACGGGUGCGUAACGCGUGGGAACCUGCCCUUAGGUUCGGAAUAACUCCCCGAAAGGGGUGCUAAUACCGGAUAAUGUCUUCGGACCAAAGAUUUAUCGCCUUUGGAUGGGCCCGCGUUGGAUUAGCUAGUUGGUAGGGUAAAAGCCUACCAAGGCGACGAUUCAUAGCUGGUCUGAGAGGAUGAUCAGCCACACUGGGACUGAGACACGGCCCAGACUCCUACGGGAGGCAGCAGUGGGGAAUAUUGGACAAUGGGCGAAAGCCUGAUCCAGCAAUGCCGCGUGAGUGAUGAAGGCCUUAGGGUUGUAAAGCUCUUUUACCCGGGAUGAUAAGGACAGUACCGGGAGAAUAAGCUCCGGCUAACUCCGU